CAGAAAACAUAAAGGAUAAUAGUAGAAAUCUGGGGAAAAAGGACGCGUCUUUAUCGUUUGAGGGUAUCAUUAGAUCGUCGGUGGGGGAUAGCGUGGACUUUGAGGAUGCAGUAGUCGAAAUGGAAGUGGAAAGUCAACGACGCAGAGGAAAAGAUCUUCCAUCUACUUUUAAACCCCACCGGAACUAGGAAAUAUCAUCAAACUAACGGAUGGGCAACUCGAAUUGGCAAGACAAGAGUCUACUACCAAAGUAGGUGCUUACGAGGUGGACAAAAAUGUGGUUCGAAAAGGAAUGGGGCAUCCAAUGUUGUCACAAAGGCGAAGUGCAAGCAAUAUCGGGACACAUAAAGCCAAUGAAACAAGCCACGGGAUGCAGCUCUUGUCAGUCCAAGCGACACGAAGCUUGAGUAUUCUCUACAUACCUGUAGUUACGAUUAUUGUAUCACAUAUCUACAACAGUUAUAUCUCAAAAUGUGUUGGAUGUAAUUAUUUUGUUUUGCAAACCCAAGUCAACAAUCAAGUGAGCAAGCCACUCUCUGAAAGCAAAACUCAGGCAACCGUGGACAAAGGAAAAAAUUUAACCGAAAUGACUUAUAGCACAAUACCAAAACCGCCAACAAUGUUCGAGUGAAAUGUCUCGACCGCAACGUGUUUCAGAUCCUCCAAAUUACGAUGAUGUUUCUUUUAUUGAGCUUCCAGCGCAUGUCCGUCAACAACAAUUUGAGGAGAAUAUGGAGUUCAACAAGCGGCAUCGAAUACGGACUGGGGCAAAGACAACUCGAGCAUCCAAAAAGAGCAAACAACUUGUGUUUUAGUUUCCGUAAAAUGGUGUAUAUGGAUUGAAAUGGGCAUGGUUAAAUGUGGUUGAAUCAUGUUCUCUUUGUCAUUGCACAGAAAUUAAGUUGUCUACAAGUUCGAUUAGCCUAUCUAUUUUGAACAUGUUUUGUAGUUGGUGUGC